rnacentral:rRNA from 1 species
GAUGAACGCUGGCGGCGUGCCUAAUACAUGCAAGUCGAGCGAACGGACGAGAAGCUUGCUUCUCUGAUGUUAGCGGCGGACGGGUGAGUAACACGUGGAUAACCUACCUAUAAGACUGGGAUAACUUCGGGAAACCGUAGCUAAUACCGUAUAGUAUUUUGAACCGCAUGGUUCAAAAGUGAAAGACGGUCUUGCUGUCACUUAUAGAUGGAUCCGCGCUGCAUUAGCUAGUUGGUAAGGUAACGGCUUACCAAGGCAACGAUGCAUAGCCGACCUGAGAGGGUGAUCGACCACACUGGAACUGAGACACGGUACAGACUCCUACGGGAGGCAGCAGUAGGGAAUCUUCCGCAAUGGGCGAAAGCCUGACGGAGCAACGCCGAGUGAGUGAUGAAGGUCUUCGGAUCGUAAAACUCUGUUAUUAGGGAAGAACAUAUGUGUAAGUAACUGUGCACAUCUUGACGGUACAUAAUCAGAAAGCCACGGCUAACUAAGUG